rnacentral:rRNA from 1 species
CUGGCUCAGGAUGAACGCUAGCUACAGGCUUAACACAUGCAAGUCGAGGGGCAGCAUGAAGUUGCUUGCAAACUUGAUGGCGACCGGCGCACGGGUGAGUAACGCGUAUCCAACCUGGCCCGCAGUAGGGAACAGCCCGGCGAAAGUCGGAUUAAUGCCCUAUGUCUUCCUUUGCAGGCAUCCAAUGAGGAAGAAAGAUUUAUCGCUGCGGGAUGGGGAUGCGUCUGAUUAGCUUGUCGGCGGGGUAACGGCCCACCGAGGCUACGAUCAGUAGGGGUUCUGGGAGGAAGGUCCCCCACACUGGUACUGAGACACGGACCAGACUCCUACGGGAGGCAGCAGUGAGGAAUAUUGGUCAAUGGGCGAGAGCCUGAACCAGCCAAGUAGCGUGCAGGAACCGACUGCCCUAUGGGUUGUAAACUGCUUUUAUGCGGGGAUAAACUUCAGCACGUGUGCUGUUUUGCAGGUACCGCAUGAAUAAGGACCGGCUAAUUCCGUGCCAGCCGCGGC